rnacentral:rRNA from 1 species
AACGCAGCGAAGGGCGAUAAGUAAUGUGAAUUGCAGAAUUCAGUGAAUCAUCGAAUCUUUGAACGCACAUUGCGCCCCCUGGUAUUCCGGGGGGCAUGCCUGUUCGAGCGUCAUUUCACCACUCAAGCCUCGCUUGGUAUUGGGCAACGCGGUCCGCCGCGUGCCUCAAAUCGUCCGGCUGGGAUCUAUUGUGGACCGUCACUUGGUGUGAUAAUUAUCUAUGCCUUGGGACUUUGAAACAAACUUAUUAGAAUCCGCUCAUAACCGUCCUCACGGACAACUAUUGACAAUUUGACCUCAAAUCAGGUAGGACUACCCGCUGAACUUAA